GAGGGUCCUUGCUGUGCCCCGAGCUGGUGGCCAAAGGGAGGGAGUGUCCAGCUGGGGGCUCAGGGGUCACCCAGGAGAUACCCAGGGUGUCCCCAAAGUGUCCCCAGGGAUCACCCAGAGAUACCCAGUUGUCCCUUGAGGUGUCCCUAGUGUCCUCAGGCCAUGCUGGGGUGUCCCCAAGUGUCACCCCACGUCCCCAAGGUGUCCCCAAGGCCGUGCUGGGGUGUCCCCUUGUGUCCUUGAGGCGUCCCUGGUGUCCCCAAGGUGUCCCUGGGUUGUGCUGGGAUGUCCCCAGAGUGUCCCCAAGUCUCCCCUGAUGUCCCCAAGGUGUCUGUGAUAUCCCCAAGGUGUCCCCUUGUGUCCUUGAGGUGUCCCUGGUGUCCCCAGAGUGUCCCCAAGUGUCCCAGAGUGUCCCCAAGUGUCCCCAGGCUGUGCUGGGCUGUCCCCAGCAUGUCCCCAAGUGUUCCCUCAUGUCC